rnacentral:misc_RNA from 1 species
UUAAGUUCAGCGGGUUUUCCCGCUCGAUUUGAGACCAAGUGUUCAGAAAUAAUUGGCAGCUGCCAACGAGAUCUGGUUAAUCAGUUGAGUCACUCUUCAAAGGAAUUGAUUGGUCCAAAAGGCUCACGUACUGCUGAGUUUCCUCAUUCAUGCGUUUGCCCAAGACUUCUCAGUCCAAAGGAGCGUAACAUUGAAUUUCA